GACGAACGCUGGCGGCGUGCCUAACACAUGCAAGUGGAGCGACGAACCGGGCUUCGGCCCGGGGCCAAGCCGCGAACGGGUGAGUAACACGUGGGUAACCUGCCCUGAUGAUUGGGACAACCCGAGGAAACUCGGGCUAAUACCGAAUGUGCCCUCCGACCAUAAGGUCUGGCGGGGAAAGGAAGCUUCGGCCUCCGCAUCGGGAUGGGGCCCGCGGCGCAUUAGCUUGUUGGUGAGGUAACGCUCACCAAGGCGACGAUGCGUAGCUGGUCUGAGAGGACGAUCAGCCACACUGGGACUGAGACACGGCCCAGACUCCUACGGGAGGCAGCAGUGGGGAAUCUUGCGCAAUGCGCGAAAGCGUGACGCAGCAACGCCGCGGUGGGGGAAGACGGCCU
rnacentral:rRNA from 1 species